UACGGGAGGCAGCAGUGGGGAAUAUUGCACAAUGGGCGGAAGCCUGAUGCAGCGACGCCGCGUGGGGGAUGACGGCCUUCGGGUUGUAAACUCCUUUCGACAGGGACGAAGCUUUUUGUGACGGUACCUGUAUAAGAAGCACCGGCUAACUACGUGCCAGCAGCCGCGGUAAUACGUAGGGUGCGAGCGUUAAUCGGAAUUACUGGGCGUAAAGGGCACGCAGGCGGUUAAUUAAGUUGGAUGUGAAAUCCCCGGGCUUAACCUGGGAAUGGCAUUCAAGACUGGUUAGCUAGAGUCUUGUAGAGGGGGUAGAAUUCCAUGUGUAGCGGUGAAAUGCGUAGAGAUGUGGAGGAAUACCGGUGGCGAAGGCGGCCCCUGGACAAAGACUGACGCUCAUGUGCGAAAGCGUGGGGAGCAAACAGGGAUUUAGAUACC
rnacentral:rRNA from 1 species